UUCCCCAUUUCCUAUGAGACUUCAGCCUCUAAUCAAGUAACACAAAAAGAGAAGGGAGAGUUUCUGAGAGCCAGUGAACAACUGGUGGCCGCUGAUCCUCCAGUCUCUUCAAGCAGCCUUUGGUUACAACCGGUUCAUCCCCAUCGUGCCGUGCCACCACACACCUGAUCAUCCUCCGCCAUGGAAGGCCUGCGGAUCACCGCCUGCUUCUUCUCCUUCGGAAGCCUCUUUCUGCUCAUCGUUGCCCUGGCUUCAGACUACUGGGCAGGGAAUUCAGAAGGCGCACACUUAGGAUUGUGGCAAAUUUGUGAGAAUAAGAUUUGUACGCCAUUUAGGAUGCAAGCGCCAGCUUAUAUCCACGCCACCCGAGC